AACAUUUCUCUAGCAAGGAAAAAAGUACCCUAUACAUCAAAAAUUCCUGUCAAAGGAAGUCAACUCUUUCCAUCAUGAGUGACAGAACUCGAUCGAAUGUGACACAUAGAAAUGUCUCAAAAAUCUCUAGGGGAAGGCUAGAGAGCAAAGAAACGACCAAAAAACAGGCCGGAAGAAGGAAAGCGAAAAGCAUGAGGGC